GCCAGUGUGGUGUAGUGGUUUGAGCAUUGAACUAGAACACUGGAAAACCAGGGUUCAAAUCCCAGCUUGGCCA